rnacentral:lncRNA from 1 species
GGGGUCUGAAGUUCUCACAAUGGGGCCAUAGGCCUCAGUUCAUCAAGAGAAUGAGCCUUUGAGGAUUUGCUAGGAAACUCUUGACUGAAGGGAGGCCGGUGGAUGAAUCACUUUGUUUCUUAUGGAAAAGAUGAAAACUUUCUUUGUGGUUAUCUUGGCUACUGACUAUUUCUUACAUAUUUCUGGUAACAAUCCAUAUGCGGACAUUACAUGCGGUUAUUAUCGAAGGAAGUCUGCACAGGAGAACCGAAUAUGCUCCCUAACAGUCUACCCAUUAUGUGCCUCUAAUAAUGUUACAUACUCUAAUGCCUGCAUGUUCUGCUUCGCUAACAUAGCUAUGCACCUCUCUCUUAAAAUUCGAUACGAUGGAAAAUGCGGAAAGGCCAAAAGUCCUGAACAGAAUUUGAUUUUCCUUCCUUCAUCAUAAGUGAACUCAUUUGAAUUAAGCAUCAUCCUUCCUUCAAAAAGCAAAAUUCAUUAUAUUACCUUAUUUUUUAAAGAUCAAUAAAUUUUAUUCUACAGAAAACUCUUCUUUAACUCAAGACAUAUUUAAUGACAUGCGCCAGAGUUGUGUUUGGUUCUAGAAAUGCAGAGUGAGUAGGAAGUGACCCCUGACUUUGUGCAACUCACUGUCUGAUAGGCUAAUUGGACAACUCUUUCAUUUAUUCAGUAAAUAUUCUUUAAGGACUUACAAGACUGAGAGACUUGGAUAGACUCUGUGUCCUCAGUAGUAAUCAAAACAGGUCUGUGCCGGGCUGGCCCCGUGGCGGAGCGGUUAAGUUCGCGCCCUCCGCUGCAGGCGGCCCAGUGUUUCGUUGGUUCGAAUCCUGGGCGCGGACAUGAC